rnacentral:rRNA from 1 species
UAAANUAGUAGUUUGAUCCUGGCUCUAGAUUGAACGCUGGCGGCAUGCCUUACACAUGCAAGUCGAACGGCAGCACGGGAGCAAUCCUGGUGGCGAGUGGCGAACGGGUGAGUAAUACAUCGGAACGUGUCCUGUAGUGGGGGAUAGCCCGGCGAAAGCCGGAUUAAUACCGCAUACGCUCUACGGAGGAAAGGGGGGGAUCUUAGGACCUCUCGCUACAGGGGCGGCCGAUGGCAGAUUAGCUAGUUGGUGGGGUAAAGGCCUACCAAGGCGACGAUCUGUAGCUGGUCUGAGAGGACGACCAGCCACACUGGGACUGAGACACGGCCCAGACUCCUACGGGAGGCAGCAGUGGGGAAUUUUGGACAAUGGGCGCAAGCCUGAUCCAGCAAUGCCGCGUGUGUGAAGAAGGCCUUCGGGUUGUAAAGCACUUUUGUCCGGAAAGAAAACCUCUGGGUUAAUACCCCGGGGGGAUGACGGUACCGGAAGAAUAAGCACCGGC